GAUGAAGAACGCAGCGAAAUGCGAUAAGUAAUGUGAAUUGCAGAAUUCCGUGAAUCAUCGAAUCUUUGAACGCACAUUGCGCCCCCUGGCAUUCCGGGGGGCAUGCCUGUCCGAGCGUCAUUUCUGCCCUCCAGCCCGGCUGGGUGUUGGGCGCUGUCCCCCCGGGGACACGCCCCAAAGGCAGUGGCGGCGCCGCGUCGGGUCCUCGAGCGUAUGGGGCUUUGUCACCCGCUCGGGACGGACUCGUCGGUGCUGGUCUUCCUCCAGGCGACCCUUCGGGGCUCGUCUUCCUUCGGUUGACCUCGGAUCAGGUAGGGUUACCCGCUGAACUUAAGCAUAUCAAUAAGCGGAGGA
rnacentral:misc_RNA from 1 species